GACGGGGAGGUGUCGAUGGGAGGGCGCUGCGUGUGUACUCUGCUCAGGGAAUCGUGCUCACUGUUUCAGGUAUGUUAAGCCUGGCCUCAGGUAAAGUGUACCCAGAUGCCACAGGGUUGGACCAUGAAGACUUUGUGACCUCUUUGUCUCACAACACGCGAUAAUGGGUCAUUUGCCUGAUAGCAUCUGCUUCCCAAAGCACCCUUCACUCCGCGGUAUUUCGGUUUUUUUAUGAAGUAAAAAAAUGGUUGCUCGCCGCCGUUGCUUUUACUUAAUUGAAGUUUCUCUUUCUUUUUUCUCUACUCUGAUAAUCUCGGCAAAUUCUUUAACCGAAGGCCCCCGCGUUGCGUAAGCCUCCGUUUAGCGGGAAUAGUAAACGUGACAUUUUGAACCGACCGUAAUAAGUUCAAUUCCAAGCAAACACUGAAGAGAAGCGAACACAACAAUAGCACGUCCUCUAUUUACCCAGGGAAGCCUCGACCUUGUCUCAACACUUUCUUUCAGGAUGGUCAUCCUUGGGAUGUUUGGCCACCUCCUUAUCUGAAUACAUAGGUCAAAGUGCAACCCUGCAAUGGCUUGCUCAUGACGCUGCUGGCAGAAGGGGGGCUCCACUGGAGGGAGCUCUGGAGAGAGAGACCUGCCAGAGGGUAUUUGGCCUACUCCUCCACACUUGUCAAAUGUCUUGGAAGAGGUGCGAGUUACCCACGCUUUGCCCCAACGCCGAUGUCCUGUGACCUGCUUGAAAAUCGACUGGCUCUGGUAUACUGCUGGGCUGACGGAGGGCAGUGGGAAGGGGGAUUUCAGAAACUUGCACCAUUGUUUUAACAGUCGUGCCAGGAGAUGGGAUCAAAUUGGCCGCCUCUGGAUUACAUGUCAAGAAUGUCAACCAUUAUACCGUGUUAGCAUCCCAUUUUCGAGUACAAUGUGUACAUAUAUAUUCAUGUGGGAGGAAAACGGAAUGCCUGAAGAUAACCGACAUAUUUAGAGAGAAAAACACUUUCAAAAUGCCUCGGCAAACUCUUCGUCUGUUGUCUGAUUUGCUGCAGAAUAGCAGACUUAUUAUAGGAGGGAUUAGCAACCUCCCUUACUGUACGGGUUUGCAAAGGACACCUACCCGCAGGUGGGUGGCUGUCUCGUGGUCUCCGUGUGAUUCACCAGACGCGACGAGCCACCGCACCUUGCAAAACGUAACGCAAAUCAAAACAUACUUUUUUUUCUUUUAAAUAUAUAUAUUUUUUGUGAAAGUAUCCAGAUCUGUUGCUGCGGCUCCCCGUAAAAGGUCAGCGUGGUGUAUGUUGAUGGGAAUUGCCUUUUUUUGUGUGUGCGUGUGGUAAGACAAAAAAAAAUGCCACAAGGGUUGUUGCGUCUAACGCCUGCACUCGCGGUGACGUUGGCACAUCAUCGGCCAUCGAACACGCGCGGCUCACUCAACCCGCGGCGCGAUACGAGAGGGAGCAAGGGGGAGCAGGAGGAGCGCAGGGCCCAAGCCUUGUAACGCACACCUGCCUUCUCGCUCUAUCAGCCACGAGGUGCUUCGUUGUGGAAAGUCUAAAUCCACUGCUGGAUGAAGGUCUUCCUCCACCUGUGUCACCCCCCUCGGCUGCGCCAGUGAACUGCCGCUGCUGCUGCUUCAUACAGAAACGAACUCGGGUCGCCGGGGCGGUGUUUGUGAGAGAAGGACGAGGAGGGGGGAAGUGCUCGAGUGGCCAGGUUUGGCCUUGCGCUCGUCAAGCAACGGGGGCCUUGAGCGCGAGUGGAAGGAGACCCGGCCGCCCGCCACGGAGAGUGCUGAAAGAAGAAUGAAAGAUGACGAGAGAGAACGAUUAGGGCAAAUAAAAUUAUUAAUAACAAACGGAGUCGAGGGCAAUUGUGUGUAAACAUCGUACGUACGACUCAGCAAAUGUGCAUGUGAGUUUAUGAAUUAAUGCCAUUAAUUACAGUAGCUUAGAAUUGUUUGGCAGGCUUUGUUAUUCCUUAACAAAUAUAAUGUUGUAUUGAAAUUCAGAAGUGUUUUUUUUUUCUUUCUUUCGAAUUGUAAACAGCUGUGGUUCACUAUUCACUGGACGUCUGUGAAAAAGAGCUUCAUAGCUUAUCGGGUUUCUCCAGAAUAAAUAAUAGAUUUCCAAUAAAUUUGUAUAUGUGCUGUAUUCAUUUUCUCAUUUUUUUCAA